GCGGGUGUAACUCAGUGGUAGAGUGCUUGCUUCCCAAGCAAGACGUCGAGGGUUCGAAUCCCUUCACCCGCUCCA
rnacentral:tRNA from 1 species